AGUGAACGCUGGCGGUAGGCCUAACACAUGCAAGUCGAACGGCAGCACAGUAAGAGCUUGCUCUUACGGGUGGCGAGUGGCGGACGGGUGAGGAAUACAUCGGAAUCUACUUUUUCGUGGGGGAUAACGGAGGGAAACUUACGCUAAUACCGCAUACGACCUACGGGUGAAAGCAGGGGAGAUUCGGACCUUGGGCGAUUGAAUGAGCCGAUGUCGGAUUAGCUAGUUGGCGGGGUAAAGGCCCACCAAGGCUACGAUCCGUAGCUGGUCUGAGAGGAUGAUCAGCCACACUGGAACUGAGACACGGUCCAGACUCCUACGGGAGGCAGCAGUGGGGAAUAUUGGACAAAGGGCGCAAGCCUGAUCCAGCCAUACCGCGUGGGUGAAGAAGGCCUUCGGGUUGUAAAGCCCUUUUGUUGGGAAAGAAAAGCAGCAGGUUAAUACCCCGCUGUUCUGACGGUACCCAAAGAAUAAGCACCGGCUAACUUCGUG
rnacentral:rRNA from 1 species